CUGCCGUUGCUUCCUUGAGCAAGGUACUUAUCCUGCACUGCUUCAGUAUAUGUCCAGCUGUAUAAAUGGAUGGUCUGGUGCAGAGGUUCCCGUGCAUGUUGAUCCCUCUGGUGUGUAGCGCGGGGCUAUGUUUGGGUGCUGGUACAGAGGUGUAGUGCAGGGCUAUGUUUGGGUGCUGGUACAGAGGUGUAGUGCAGGGCUAUGUUUGGGUGCUGGUACAGAGGUGUAGUGCAGGGCUAUGUUUGGGUGCUGGUACAGAGGUGUAGUGCAGGGCUAUGUUUGGGUGCUGGUACAGAGGUGUAGUGCAGGGCUAUGUUUGGGUGCUGGUACAGAGGUGUAGUGCAGGGCUAUGUUUGGGUGCUGGUACAGAGGUGUAGUGCAGGGCUAUGUUUGGGUGCUGGUACAGAGGUGUAGUGCAGGGCUAUGUUUGGGUGCUGGUACAGAGGUGUAGUGCAGGGCUAUGUUUGGGUGCUGGUACAGAGGUGUAGUGCAGGGCUAUGUUUGGGUGCUGGUACAGAGGUGUAGUGCAGGGCUAUGUUUGGGUGCUGGUACAGAGGUGUAGUGCAGGGCUAUGUUUGGGUGCUGGUACAGAGGUGUAGUGCAGGGCUAUGUUUGGGUGCUGGUACAGAGGUGUAGCGCGGGGCUAUGUUUGGGUGCUGGUACAGAGGUGUAGUGCAGGGCUAUGUUUGGGUGCUGGUACAGAGGUGUAGUGCAGGGCUAUGUUUGGGUGCUGGUACAGAGGUGUAGCGCGGGGCUAUGUUUGGGUGCUGGUACAGAGGUGUAGUGCAGGGCUAUGUUUGGGUGCUGGUACAGAGGUGUAGUGCAGGGCUAUGUUUGGGUGCUGGUACAGAGGUGUAGUGCAGGGCUAUGUUUGGGUGCUGGUACAGAGGUGUAGUGCAGGGCUAUGUUUGGGUGCUGGUACAGAGGUGUAGUGCAGGGCUAUGUUUGGGUGCUGGUACAGAGGUUCCCAUGCGUGUUGAUCCCUCUGGUGCGUAGCGCG